GACGAACCGUGCGAACGUUAUUCGGAAUCACUGGGCUUAAAGCGCGUGUAGGCGGGACGGCACGUCGGUCGCUGAAAUCCCCCGGCUUAACCGGGGAACGGGCGUCGAUACGACCGUCCUGGAGGGGCGUAGGGGGACCUGGAACUUCCGGUGGAGCGGUGAAAUGCGUUGAGAUCGGAAGGAACGCCCGUGGCGAAAGCGAGGUCCUGGACGCCUACUGACGCUGAGACGCGAAAGCCAGGGGAGCGAA
rnacentral:rRNA from 1 species